AAGAAAUGAGGAGAACUUUUCAAGCAGUCUGAAAAAAACAAAAUGAAGACUGUCAGAUCCAACUCUGAUCUUCCUAUGACU